AUACCUUUCUCGGCCUUUUGGCUAAGAUCAAGUGUAGUAUCUGUUCCUAUCAGUUUAAUAUCUGAUACGUGGGCCAAUGGCCCACACGAUAUUAAAUUAAUUUUUUUAGUGGGGGAGUCCGUAUCAGUAGCUUGCUACUGGGCCUCUCGCGCGUUGCCCAUGCUUUGCACUAUAGCACGGGCCUGGCGCACCCCAC
rfam:Jatropha curcas cultivar GZQX0401 scaffold660_75, whole genome shotgun sequence.